UAGGGCCCGAGCCAGCUGCAGAGCAGCCGGGCGUAGGCCCUAUUAUUCCCCAAGUGGUUUUUCUUUGUUUCUUUCUUUAGGGCCCGAGCGUAGCUGCUAAGCAGCUGCGAGAGCCCUCUUGUUCCUGCAUGUUUCCUUCUUUUGUUAUUAGGGCCCGAGCGUAGCUGCUAAGCAGCUGCGAGAGCCCUCUUGUUCCUGCAUGUUUCCUUCUUUUGUUAUUAUUAUUAUUUUUCCUCCCCUUUAAACUGGAAAAUGGCCCACUUCCCACUGGCGAAAACUCAUGAAAUUUGGCAGGACGACCGGGCCUGGUGAAAAAUUUGAUAUUCUGAAGUCGCCCAAACAAUAAAAUGCAAAAUGGCUCCAUAGCGCCCCCUAAGGUGGAAAUUCACACUAUUGACUGUCACGCCUGUACGCUUUGUCAAAAUGACACAAAAUUUGACACACAUAUGUAUCUCAAUAAGAUCUACAAAAAAGUCAGUGCGGGCGUAUCUGUCAAAUGUACGGUUAAAGGGUUAUUUCACAUUUUUUGUAGAUCCGUACACAUUGGAAUUUCGCUAACUCCUCCGAAGGCUUUUGUUCCACCGGCACCACAUUUGCUCAGGCCAAUCUACACCCCAUGGCCAUUAAAAGUUAUUCAAAUCAUGACGCUGCACCCCACGGUUUAGGUUCUAGGGGGCGCCAAAGAUAACCCUAAAAUCCACAUAUUUCAAAGUCUUAUAACUUUUUAUUUUUGUCCUCACUGGCCUCCAAGUUUUCUAGGAUGAUGCAAUGUCCAGCCAUCAACACAUUUGUGAAGGAAUUUUUACUCCCCAAAAGAGCGCCCCCCCAUGGCAGGAGAAAAAAGUCCAUUUUUUCUUGUCCCCUAAGGUGAAAAUACACAUUGUUGAGUGUCACGCCUCUACACUUUGUCAAAAUGACACAAAAUUUGGCACACAGGUGUGUCUCAAUAAGAUCUACGAAAAAGUCAGUGCGGGCGUAUCUGUCAAAUGUACGGUUAAAGGGCUAUUUCGCAUUUUUUGGCGAUCCGUACACAUUGGAAUUUCGCUAACUCCUUUGAAGGCUUUUGUUCCACCGGCACCACAUUUGCUCAGGCCAAUCUACACCCCAUGGCCAUUAAAAGUUAUUCAAAUCAUGACGCUGCACCCCACGGUUUAGGUUCUAGGGGGCGCCAAAGAUAACCCUAAAAUCCACAUAUUUCAAAGUCUUAUAACUUUUUAUUUUUGUCCUCACUGGCCUCCAAGUUUUCUAGGAUGAUGCAAUGUCCAGCCAUCAACACAUUUGUGAAGGAAUUUUUACUCCCCAAAAGAGCGCCCCCCCAUGGCAGGAGAAAAAAGUCCAUUUUUUCUUGUCCCCUAAGGUGAAAAUACACAUUGUUGAGUGUCACGCCUCUACACUUUGUCAAAAUGACACAAAAUUUGGCACACAGGUGUAUCUCAAUAAUAUCUACGAAAACGUCAAUGCGGGCGUAUCUGUCAAAUGUACGGUUAAAGGGCUAUUUCGCAUUUUUUGGCGAUCCGUACACAUUGGAAUUUCGCUAACUCCUCCGAAGGCUUUUGUUCCACCGGCACCACAUUUGCUCAGGCCAAUCUACACCCCA
rnacentral:lncRNA from 1 species